AUUGAACGCUGGCGGAAUGCUUUACACAUGCAAGUCGAGCGGCAGCGCGGGGCAACCUGGCGGCGAGCGGCGAACGGGUGAGUAAUGCAUCGGAACGUACCCUGUCGUGGGGGAUAACUAUCCGAAAGGAUAGCUAAUACCGCAUACGCCCUGAGGGUGAAAGCGGGGGACCGAAAGGCCUCGCGCGAUGGGAGCGGCCGAUGUCGGAUUAGCUAGUUGGUGAGGUAAAGGCUCACCAAGGCGACGAUCCGUAGCGGGUCUGAGAGGACGACCCGCCACACUGGAACUGAGACACGGUCCAGACUCCUACGGGAGGCAGCAGUGGGGAAUUUUGGACAAUGGGCGCAAGCCUGAUCCAGCCAUUCCGCGUGAGUGAAGAAGGCCUUCGGGUUGUAAAGCUCUUUCGGCAGGGAAGAAACGGUGUGGGCUAAUACCCUGCAUUAAUGACGGUACCUGAAGAAGAAGCACCGGCUAACUACGUGCCAGCCGCCGCGGUAAUAC
rnacentral:rRNA from 1 species